UCGCUCAUAGCCACAUCUUCUCCAAUUCUCCUCUAUUCAAAAUGAAGUGCUUCAGCCUUAUGGUAGUGGUGUUGGCCGUACUGGCCAUGAUCAUGGGCGGAUCUCAAGCCGCGCCGGAGCCGCAACCAGCGGGGGCCAAGGGACUGCUGAAGGGCGCUAAAACCGUGAUAGGAGUGGUUGGAGCCAUAGGCACGGGCAAGGAGAUCAUCGACCGCGUCAGGAACAGGCACGGAUGAAAAGUCGUCGCAAUUUUAUUACAUAAUAAUUUUAAUGCAACAACCCAAAGUUACUUAUUAAGUGUUAAAAAUAAAUAUUUUAGUGAACUUACAA
rnacentral:lncRNA from 1 species